GAUGAACGCUGGCGGUGUGCCUAAUACAUGCAAGUCGAUCGAACGGACGAGAAGCUUGCUCUCCUGAUGUUAGCGGCGGACGGGUGAGUAACACGUGGAUAGCCGACCGAUAAUACUGGGAUAACUUCGGGAAAACGGUGCCAAUACUGGAUAAUAGUAUCAACCGCAUGGAUCAGAAGUGAAAGACGGUAUUGCUGUCACGUAUAGAUGGAUGCGCGCUGCAUUCGCUAGUUGGUAAGGUAACGGCUUACCAAGGCAACGAUGUAUAGCCGACCUGAGGGGGUGAUCGGCCACACUGGAACUUGGACGCGGACCAGACUCCGACGGUAGGCAGCACUAGGGAACCUUGCCCAAUGGGCUCAAGCCUGAUCGAGCAACGCCGCGUGAGUGAUGACGGUCUUCGGCUCGUAACGCUCUGUUUUUCGCGAAGAACACAUGUACUACUAACUCUGCACAUCUUGACGGUACCCAAUCAGCAUGCAACGGCUACCUGCGUG
rnacentral:rRNA from 1 species